ensembl:lncRNA
GGGAGGCGCAGGCUCCCUGGAGGAGCCCGAUGCGGGCCUCGAUCCUCGCGCGGGGUCACGACCUGAGCGGACGGCAGACGCUUUAACCGCUGGGCCCCAGGCGUCCCGGGAGGGAUCCUUAAAUCAUUGGCACAGACUCCAAAAUCAGGGGAGAGGAGCCGCGCCAGUAACCCUGAACCGCAUUGCCGUCAGGGUUGCUGAAAUCCCCGGAGCUGCGGGCGGCGGGCGGUGUGGACCCGAGACCCGAGGCUCGGCGCGCGGGCGGCCUGGCCAGCAGGGGGCGCGCUCGGCCUCCGCCUCCGCCUCUCCGCUUCCCCGCCCGCAACCUGCGGCCGCGACGCUGGGGGCGCCCGGGCUCCCGCCUCCUGGUGACCCGCCGGGCGGCGCCUCCGCGUCCUGGAGACUCUGCGGCCUCAGUCUUGCUGUCCUUUAAGAGUCCUCCUCAUGAACCACAGUUUCCCAGGGAAGAUUGACACCACGGUGUGAAGAGGCUGCUCCGGGAUUCAGGAGGCUUGGCUAGCUCCCGAGGCCUGUGUCCAGAAUUUGGGCCUGGGCCCAGCUCUACUGCUAACCGGCCGUGUGACCUUGGUUGUUCAACUUAUUUCAUCUCUUAGAAGCUUCCAUCAGGGAAGCUGGAACCGAUAACCUCCAUCUACUGGCCAGUGAGGGCUAAAAUCAGUGGUCAAGCUUGGCCCUCAUCUUGCUUGACCUAUCAGCAGUAUUGGACCAAACGGAUCACUCUGUCCUUGAAAUACUUGCCUCUUGAAGUCUCUAGAAGUGUUCUUCUUCCUCCCUGCCCACUCCUUCUCCGUCUCCUUGGCUGGUGCCUCUUCAUCGCUAAGAGUUAAGGUUCGCAGUGCCUCGGGCCUCCUCUUGGACUCGCUUACUCUUCAGACACCCUCAUCCGUGACGUUUAACACCGGUACCUUGGUAGACUCCACACUCAUGCCGCCAACAUGGACUUGUCCUCCUCUGAGAUCCGUAUUCCCGUAUCCUGUUGCCUUCCUGACAUCUUGUAUGAAAGGCGUCUCAGAAGUAGCAUGUUUAGAGCUGACCUCCUGAUCCUCAGCUCCUACCCCCCAACCUGCUGCUCCCCGGGUCCUGUCCACCUCAGUCAGUGACAGCCCUGUCUGUGCUCAGGCCCAAACCCUUGCAGACAAACAUGGGCUCCACCUUCACUCUAGUCUAAGCCGCCCUCCCUCUAACUGGACUGUAAUAAGAGCCUCCUCCCUAGUCUCCCUGAUCGUCACCUUGCCCUCUGCGGUGUGUUCGUCACAGCUGCAAGAGUAAUCCUGCAAGUCGGUCUUGUCCUGGGUUGGAAGGAAACUCUUUGUCUCACUCAAAAUAAAAUCCGAAGUCCUAUGGUGG